AUGAACCCACAAGCAAGCCCUGGCCCCGAUGGUUUCGGCCCAUCCUUCUAUAAAACCUUCUGGCCCUCUAUCAAACAGGAAAUACUCUCCUUUUUUGCACAAUUUCAUCAAGGUGUGGCAGACACGGAGCGCCUAAACCGUGCCCACACUGCUCUCCUUCCAAAAUCUGCCUCCACAACAUCACCUAACGCCUUCAGACCAAUAUCCUUGCAAAACUGCCCGGUCAAAGCUGUUGCCAAGGUCCUAACUUCGCGCCUCAAACCCUUCAUCCCUCAUCUUGUCCAUGGUAAUCAGACUGGUUUCAUUACCGGUAGGAACAUUGCUGAAAACUAUGUCUUUGCAGCAGAUCUUAUCAGCUCUUGUCACUCUCGCAAACGCCCAACCAUGAUCUUCAAACUUCACUUCAGGAAGGCCUUCGAUUCGGUUGCUUGGAACGCCCUAGAAAAAAUUCUGGCUGUCCGUGGUUUCUCCCAAACUUUUCGUAGUUGGAUUCAAAACAUUCUCCAUACUGGCAAGACUGCCAUCCUCCUAAACGGCAUUCCAGGUCGCUGGAUUCCAUGUAAGAAUGGCCUGCGCCAGGGAGAUCCGGCCUCCCCCUACCUCUUCUUAAUUGUCGUCAAUCCGCUCCAGCAACUUAUCCUCCAAAACCCCGAUCCCGAUCUCCACCACUCCAUCUAUACCCACCUGCCCCCCACCAUUCUCCAAUACGCCGACGAUACAUUGAUCAUCGCAGCCGCCUCCCCCGCCGCCGCUGCCACACUCAAAAAAAUCCUUCAGAAUUUUGCUCAGGCUACUGGCCUCACCAUAAACUUCUCCAAAACCACCCUAGCAACCCUGCACGCAAAUGAAAACCUAGCUGCCAGCACUGCCCUCGCCAUGGACUGCACGCGCCCCCCUUCCUCAAACCUACCUUGGACUCCCCCUCGCUCCGACCAAGCCUCCAUCCAAUGCCUUCGCCCCGUUGAUUGA
rnacentral:rRNA from 1 species